rnacentral:rRNA from 1 species
UACGUAGGGUGCGAGCGUUAAUCGGAAUUACUGGGCGUAAAGCGUGCGCAGGCGGUUCUGUAAGUCAGAUGUGAAAUCCCCGAGCUCAACUUGGGAACUGCGUUUGAAACUACAGGACUAGAAUAUGUCAGAGGGGGGUAGAAUUCCACGUGUAGCAGUGAAAUGCGUAGAGAUGUGGAGGAAUACCAAUGGCGAAGGCAGCCCCCUGGGAUAAUACUGACGCUCAUGCACGAAAGCGUGGGGAGCAAACAGG